GAUACGAGUUCGUGGACAUGUGGAACGCAUUAUUCGGAGUUCGUAUGAUUAUGUUAUGAAUUUUUGAAAUUUGGGAAUUUUCUAUAAAUAGAGAAAUUUUCCGAAUUCUUUCUUUAAGGACAAAAAAAUGGGAAAUUUGCGUUUUGGCCCCCAGCUCUCUCCGUUCUCUCUCUCGUGCGUCCCUCAGACCCGACGGGUCGCGACCGACCCGACCCGGUCGGAAAGCCCACUUCCCGGACGCCACCGCCACCGGACCCGCACCAGACCGGCGCGCCUUGCCGAGCAUAGCUGCUCUGUGGCCUCGCCCCGCCCCGCCGCUGCCUCCAAGCCGAGAUCAAAGCCCGACCCAAGUGCAAAACGGACCCAGCCGGAAAACCACUUUUCCGGCGUUGCAUGGGCCGAUCGUUCCCAUUUUCGUGAUCUCCUCCUCCCCCUGAUCAUCCCCAUAUAGGCCUUGCUUGACGAUUUGGAGUGUGGAGUGAAAGAUCACAAGUUGAAGAUUUCGACGUCCCUGAUUCAAUCUGGAAUCUGAUCAGACGCACGAGAUUAAUCCAACUUCAACGCUUGAUCUAGGACGAUCUAGGCCGAACCAGGCUUAGCUCCAGGUGAUUGACGGUUUGAGUUGGUGGACGAUUGUGGAUCGUAUUUUGAGCUGAAUUGAAGACGCAGCGGGAUUAUCGAGCGGGUAAUCCUACAGGACAGGAGAACCAGGACGGUGAUCGUGCGGUUAGAGCAAUUGUUAGAGUUUUACAACAAUUGUAAGUUGUGAGGUGUGUUAUGCUCAUUUGAGCUUUAUAAUAUAUUGUGAGAGUGAAUUGUAAUAAUGAACUCGAAGUUUCGAGAUUUGUUUUUUUUGUAAUUGUAAUUAUUCAGGUUUCGGAUUUGAAUUUAUCAUUCAAAAUCCGGGGCGUGACAGUUUGGUAUCAGAGCGUAAGGUGCAUAUUUGGUGAUGUGUCAAUACCUUUCGAGUGAUGGCCCGUCUGCAGCGGAUCCCCAUCGUGUGCUCUUCGGUAUUGGCUAAGUCAUUGGGUAUGCGUGAGUGUUGGGAGUUGUUUAGGCCGCUAGGUUGUUUAGGGAACGUGAAUACCUUCCCUAUAGUAUUGACUUGGUUAAUAUGAAAUUGUAUUUGACUUAUACUGUGUUUUAAGUGUUAUACAUGUAUUAGCCAAGCAUACUAUACUCCUUAGGUGAUGGAUAUUCGAAGGGGUUGUACUUAGAACCUUACAGUUGUCUUGUAGGUUCGUAUGGGAAUAAGUUCAGUGGCCGCAAGUUACAAUCCUUGAGGAAUAGGAACCUCUUGAUUCAACUCUGUUAAGUCAACGAGGAUUGUUGUAUGGAAGUGAGGUUCUUUUGGAUGUUGAAGUGUUGGUUGAAGGCAUGAUGUGGACCUAUGCACGUACCUAGUGUGGAUACGAGUAUUAAUGGAUAGAAAGUUUGUCUUCUUAAGUUGGACGUACAUAUGUUUUUAGAUGAGAUGUACAUGUCAAAUAAUAGAUAUCUUGUUUUGUAAUGAGAUGUCCUUGUGGAGUUUGUUAGUAGGGUUGAGGUUAGGGAAGAAAUUAUUGUGGUUACUUCUUCCUUGUGCUUGUAAGUUGUUAAGCAGGGUUUGAGGUGCGAGACAAGAAUUUUAUUUUGUGCUCGAUGGUUAGAGAUGAGAGACCAUUGUUUUGGGUUGUCGUUGAGUACUAUAAUUCCUUCAGAAUCAGGAUUGUUGGUAGAAUUGGAAUUAGUAGUAGUUUUGGUGAUUCGGAAUUUGAAUUGAGUUCGUGAGAUAUGUCUUAUAUACGUGGUUGAUGUUGCUUGCAUCAUUUUGGAACGAUAUGUUGCGAUUCACAAGGAAAACUGGAUUUGAAAUUUAUUCAUUUGAACACCAUGGGUUGAUGACCUGACCGUGACUUGUGAAUAUAGUUUUGUUCAAGUGAAUGAAAUUGAAUUUUGAGGCCUAUGUAUGGUGCAGGAAGAAGCAUGGAGGACAUGUUAGAGUCAGGCAAGGGUUUGCCUUUGGUGAUUGAUUUUAGGUGAUAUAGUUAAACGCAAUUUCAGAUAUUGAUUUUAGUGACUUUGUUAGGUAUCCAUAGUGGUUCAAGUGAAUUACUAUGUGAUAUGGAGUUUGAUUCGAUUUCUGAAUCGCUAAAUGUUAGGGAUUGAAUUGUGGUGAGUUUUUGUUGAAGCAAUUGAUAGAUGAAAUUAUCGAGAUUCUAUAAG